GGCUCCUUGUGCUGCUGCUACUGCUGAUAGGAGGAGUGCUGAAGUGUCUGCAAUCCAAACGAGACCCUGCUGUCCAGAUUGAACCUGUGUACACCACGGUGAAUCUGCCCAAGCAGCCUUCAAAGCAACAGGAUGACACCCUCACCUACUCAGAAAUAAACACUGCCCGUGUCACCAAGAAGAAACCCAGAUCUGCACCUGAUCAAGACAAUGUAACAUAUGCAACAGUUAAAACUGCCACAUACUGAUAACCACUGGGAAAAAUGAAUGUUGUUUUGAAAAAUACCGGAAUAUUCAAUUAAUCAAAUUGAUCUUUCACUUUUAUCUACAUACUCUCUGCUUUCAUACCUACCAGAACGAUCAUACAGUCCUGUCAGUGGGAGACACUUUAGUUCUUGUCUCAGAACUGACAAACCAUUGGAGAUAAAUAAUCUAGGAGGCUGUGGGGAAAUGUGUGAAACAAUAGAAGACACAUUGAUAACACACUGGCAUCAAUGCUGGGAGGCAAGCAUUUCUAUGAAACCUUUUUGCGCAUGUUCUAGUGUUUAAAGAGCCAGUAGUAUACGUUGUGUUUCCCUGUAGGAGUGCUGGAUUCUUAAUCAAAGCCAACACACAAUGCAUUUCUUAAUCAAAGCCAACACACAAUGCAUUUCUUAAUCAAAGCUAACACACAAUGCAUUUGUUUUGGUCGACCAUUCUGGGUUGGUCUGGGUGGUGUUGCUUCAGUAUUACAUUCUAAUCAUUUCUCUGUAAAUCUUACCUGGCUUUGAGGAUCCAGGACUGAACAACCUGCCUCAUUCCUUGCAAAUCAUGUGACAACAUGACCGUUCAACUGUGCCAGCCCCACUAACUCUAAAUGACAAAAUCUGUUCCAAAUUCUCAAUGAACUGAGGUGUGGUGUGAAUGCAAUCGGGUCUAAAAUUAGAUUAAUUUAGCAACAAACGAUAUCUGAAAAGGUCCUAAAAUGUUUACUAUUUUUAAAGCAAAACUAGUUCAGUAAAAUGAAUCUAAUUCAAUUAUUUUCACUUUUUUCCAGACUGAGUUGGGUUCAUUUAGAAUAGUCUCAACAGUGAAACUGGAUUGAAAAGCUUGCAAUGGUACUCACAUGGCAGUGGUAAUCUGAUGUGAAUUCAUAGCAUAGGGAUGGGAAAAUAAUUGGAAACUGCAACAGUAAAGUGCAACUAUUAUUAACAUUUAUAUUCAGUGUGUGUCGGGUUAGAAAACAUAUGUGAAGUUUGGUGGGCUCAACUUAGCUCUCUAUAAGCAUUCAUUAUCAAGCAAUUCUGUACAACUGCCAGUGUGCUUGAGAGGGGCACAGGACUGAAUGUCCAGCCUGUAAUUUGUUUAGAAUGGUAAAUGGUAUUCUUUCCUUUCAAAAGAACUUGAUAACAGCUUUGAGAACCUGAUCUGUUGUGAAUGGAAAUCAGCAAUGAUUCAUAUUUCCUCUUAUUCAUGUGUUUCCUGUUCAUACUGUAAAACAAUUAUAUGUAUUUUAAUAACCAGCAGUGGGUUACACAGACCCCAGUGAGCAGCACUGCUAGAUUACCUUACCUAAGGGACACAUGAUUAGUGCUAAUGUGAGUCUAAUCAAUCAGCCACAUCUCUGAGCUACAGCCCCUUCAGCAUUGCUCUGUAUGUAUUUAACUUCAUUGUUAUAAAGUGUACAAAAUGUAUUUGUGUGGUUGUGUUGUCUGUUAUCUAUGAACUCAGCUCACUGUUUUUUUUUUCAUCAAGGCCAUCAUUACCGGACAUGUUUUGUAUUGAUGGUCUUUUAUCAUUUCUGUUUUAAAUACUGUGGUUUACUUAAGCAAGGUUCUCUGUCAUUCUUGUCACCUCGCUAUGCAUGCUAAAAUUAAACACUGCAUACGCCUUGCACAGUGAGGCUGUGAGUAGCAUUGGCUUUCUCAUUCUUCUGUCUAACGUCUAAAAAUAAUUAAUUUCUGUUAGUGUAUUAGUAACGUCUAUUUCACCUCAGCCACGCAUUGCCUGCUUUGUGCUUUCAGAGUCAGGGGUGCUGAACCCUGCAUCUGGUCUCAUUGCUGUAUGCUGAGCUUAUAGUAAACCACCUCAUACUCAAGGUAAACCCAAAUGAUCUUUCCAUUUAAUAAAAGCACUUUCUGCUGACACACCAACCAGAAUGAAGAGACAGAUCAGUCUGAGCCAUGUUAGUGCUGGUUCCAGAACUGACAGCCCAUCGGAGAAGCAAAGAAUCUGGCAGGUUACCUGUCAGCUCUGCCAGCCUCUCUUACUCUCCUUUCUUAUACAUGUAGAUGCUGCUGUUAGAGUGGACAAGGUUAUAUUGUCUCAUUGUUUGAAUGCAGUGAGGAAGGGUGUUCAUUGAAGGCAUUUCCAAUUCUCCAGACAAGCUCAAAGCCAGGUGAAGACAGAUUUAUUAGAAACAUUAUAUUAACUCAAUAUUGGAACAACAGAACCCAGGUGUUAAAUCUGGAAGAAAAAAACAAUGCAGAAUCAAUAUGGGUCAGAAUAAUGGACACAAAUUAAAAGGGCAUAAUAAUAGGGGCUAUAGACUGCCAAAUUCAGAUGCUGAGCAAAAUAUUCUGUACACAAUGACAUUAGAAAUGUGUGUAGCAAAGGAGAAGCCAUACUAAUGGGGGAUUUCAACUUCCCCCAUAUAA